AUGCAUCUCCUUACUUGGGAAAGGACCCCAGUCGUCAGAAGGGAGAGAGGCUGGCAGAGAACGUGGUCAUGAAUCUGAUGGAGACAUUUUUGGAUGAUGGGAGAAAUGUCACGACGGACAAUUUCUUUACUUCACUGUCACACAGAUUGCUGCAGCGCAAAACAACGCUACUGGGCACGGCGAAUAAUGUCCAUGCACCAAGACAAUAGAUCGGUGACGGCAGAAAGAGGAAACCCAACACGAUACCAGACUAUAACCACAUGAAGUGAUCGGAGGGUGCAUUUAAGGAGGAGAGUGUGUGUGUGAGAGGUGUGGUGUGCGCACACGUGUGCCAGAAGACGUGCUGCAUGAGGCACUAAGCAGACAGACACAAAAACUAAAUAAAAGUGGCUAUGAAGCCUUUACACCUGA